GUAGGGAAUCUUCCACAAUGGACGAAAGUCUGAUGGAGCAACGCCGCGUGAGUGAAGAAGGUUCUCGGAUCGUAAAACUCUGUUGUGAGGGAAGAACAAGUACCGGAGUAACUGCCGGUACCUUGACGGUACCUCAUUAGAAAGCCACGGCUAACUACGUGCCAGCAGCCGCGGUAAUACGUAGGUGGCAAGCGUUGUCCGGAAUCAUUGGGCGUAAAGCGCGCGCAGGCGGUCCCUUAAGUCUGAUGUGAAAGCCCACGGCUCAACCGUGGAGGGUCAUUGGAAACUGGGGGACUUGAGUGCAGAAGAGGAAAGCGGAAUUCCAAGUGUAGCGGUGAAAUGCGUAGAGAUUUGGAGGAACACCAGUGGCGAAGGCGGCUUUCUGGUCUGUAACUGACGCUGAGGCGCGAAAGCGUGGGGAGCAAACAGGAUUAGAAACCCCGGUAGUCC
rnacentral:rRNA from 1 species